UACAGAGGGGGCAAGCGUUGUUCGGAAUUACUGGGCGUAAAGGGCGCGUAGGCGGCCCGCUAAGUCGAACGUGAAAUCCCCGAGCUCAACUCGGGAACUGCGUCCGAUACUGGCGGGCUUGAAUCCGGGAGAGGGAUGCGGAAUUCCAGGUGUAGCGGUGAAAUGCGUAGAUAUCUGGAGGAACACUGGUGGCGAAGGCGGCAUCCUGGACCGGCAUUGACGCUGAGGCGCGAAAGCUAGGGGAGCAAACGGG
rnacentral:rRNA from 1 species